GUUUAUAUCACAGUUUUGCCCUGAGGACCAUUUUUCUCAGAUCUCCAUUUCAGAUCUUGUUCUGCAUUUGUUUGGAUCCCCUGGGAAGCAGACAUCAAGCAGGAAAAUAAAAGAACAAUGAGACAGCACAAAUUCAGUGGAGUUGGAGUACAUUUAAAAUUAAAGGCAUCAAACUUCAACGUGAGAUUUCUGAAACGUUCCAGAAGCAUGAAUUCUGAACUCCAGCAGACAAUGAACAGAAACCCAAAGAUCAAUGUGUUUCUAAAGAAUUAUAUUGCUGCAGUGCUUCUAAGACUGUUUAUUUAUUGUGAGAAGCUUCACUCCUUCAAGGUUUUCAGUCAUCCACCCCUUUUGUCCCUGUCAAGAUGAAGCGGCCCCUUGUUUCUGACAAUGGGCCACAUCCGCAGAGCCCCUGGAUGCACACAAAGGAGGUGGUACAUCCCACUGUGCACACGGGCUUCUGCUGGGCAGCCAUGGCAUGGCCACCACUGUGUUGCACGCUGGCUAAGCCAAUGCCACACGGGACAGAGCCGCUAUGUGGCUCUCCCAUUGCCCUCGAUGGGAGAACACACUUAAAACACACAGUCUAAGACUAAACUCCUGAGCCAUAGUACACAACAGAAUUCCAUAUUUCAAAUAUUUUCCAAAAACGUUGAUGGUAGCAGUGUAAGAAGAAAAAAAUCAUCACACAGUAUUUUUUCCUGCUUUUAAUAGAAUAUAGUUGCUGCAGCUAGGCACUUCUCUGUGCUCCAUCUGCACAAAUCUCUUUCAUCAUUUCUCAUGCUGCCCUGUAAUUUUUAAGUAAAUGUUUGUCUUCUCCAUUAGCCUAUAAACUCCUCAUGGGCACAUAUGAUAUCCUUCCCAUUCAUUGGUUUCUACUAUUUUUUUUUUAAUUUGCAAACCUAAUAUUUAGACAUAGUUAACAAAAAUCACUCCAGAAGUAUAUGUAAUCAAACAGAGCUCUCCUUCCUGCUCUAUCUUUUCUCUGGAAGCAACUAUGAUUGAUUUGUGUAUGUCCUUCAAGAAGACAGCUUUGGGGAUGAUGGAUGUAUUCAUUAUCUUUAUUAUGGUGAUGGUUUCAUGACUGGGUAAAUAUCAUUUUAUCAAGUUGUGUACUUUGUGCUGCCGUACAUAUGUGUAAAUAUAUGUGUGUGUGUGUGUAUAUAAAAACUGUAUAUAUGUAUUGCUUUCUACGGGUUAAUUAUAACUUAAUAAAGCUGGA